AGAAAUUGAAACGCCUCUUUUAAGCCACUAAUCAAAGCAAAAAACCUAAGAAAACUGAAAAAAAUCCUAACUCCUAUCGUCAAUCAGAAUCACAUUUCCUCUUUUUUGCAUCUAUAGUAGUUGUGGUGGAGUGUACUAGUUGUGCCUUUUCAUCACUGCAAAAGAGUCUCAUUGAAGCGCUCUCUUAGAUUUCUCCUUAAUCUGAGUUCAUCAGAAGGUGGCGAGAACAGACGCUUUUGUGUUGCAUCCCCGGACUCAGACAAAAAUGUCCUAUUUCUACCGAUUCUAGAGUCUUCUUUGGUCAUUGGCGAUAAUGGGUUCAAUCUUCGUCGGUACUUCUUCAAUCCAAUAGGGAUGGGUUAUCUAGGUUGUAUCCUCGAGUUGCAAGGGCAUGCGCUGCUUCAUUUGUCUUUCGAAGGGUAUACUCAUAGGAUAAGGGUAUCACCUUCGACAACCAGAUCUUGAAAGCCCAUUUCUUCCCUAAAUAUGACGGCCUGUAGACACACCUUCGCUUCAGCAGUGGUCGGAUCCCCUGUUCUUCCUAAUAGGUGUCCAACCCAGCUUCCUGAAGGACCUGUUUUGUGAAUUCUUAAUCUCGAAAGAGGUGUUCUACUGUUUCUUCUUCAACUGAGAAGACUAAACAUGCAGCAUCGUUCUUGAUUCUUCAAAGUCUAAAAGUACUGAGCGUCGGAAGAAAAUUAUUGGCAACUCUCCACAGAUGUAUUUUUAUCUUACUUGGAAUCGGGAGAUUCCAAAUCUUUGUAAAAUAUUAUUUUUUGGUAAUUUGGUCUGUAAUAUAAUCCUGUAGGUGUAGAGUCUUAGUCAUUAGCCGUUUAAAUCCACCUUGAACUGUGUAUUCGCCUGAUUUGUCCCCUCACCAUAUUAGAAUAUCCGGCUGCAUCCUGUUUACCAAAAAGGAAUAGACAGAAUUGCCUUCGCUUUCUCCCUUUCGAGGAUGGGUAGCCAAGCGUCAUUCUAGAUGUUUGUUGAUUCACCAUUCCUUAUCCUCCAGCCUGUUCCUUCUUCAAGUAAACUUCGUGCGUUCCAAAUGCUGCGCCAGGUAAAGGAGGGGGCAACAUGUCUUUGAAGAAGAAGGUUCAUUCCUAAUAUCAAAUUGGUGGAAGAAUGAUCCUAAUUCUUUUCUAUAUUGAUAUCUGUUUUUCUUAAGUUAUUUUCCUACUUUUAAAUCUUGACAAAUUUUUAAUCUUUCUUUUUGGGUGAAACUAAUUAAUUCACCAUAUGUAAGUUUUCAUAUAUAAAAUACCUCUGUAAUUUUCUCUUA